GAUGAACGCUGGCGGCGUGCCUAAUACAUGCAAGUCGAGCGAACAGAUAAGGAGCUUGCUCCUUUGAAGUUAGCGGCGGACGGGUGAGUAACACGUGGGUAACCUACCUAUAAGACUGGGAUAACUUCGGGAAACCGGAGCUAAUACCGGAUAACAUUUAGAACCGCAUGGUUCUAAAGUGAAAGAUGGUUUUGCUAUCACUUAUAGAUGGACCCGCGCCGUAUUAGCUAGUUGGUAAGGUAACGGCUUACCAAGGCAACGAUACGUAGCCGACCUGAGAGGGUGAUCGGCCACACUGGAACUGAGACACGGUCCAGACUCCUACGGGAGGCAGCAGUAGGGAAUCUUCCGCAAUGGGCGAAAGCCUGACGGAGCAACGCCGCGUGAGUGAUGAAGGGUUUCGGAUCGUAAAACUCUGUUAUUAGGGAAGAACAAAUGUGUAAGUAACUGUGCACAUCUUGACGGUACCUAAUCAGAAAGCCACGGCUAACUACGUG
rnacentral:rRNA from 1 species